CUGAACACUAACAUGGUGAAGGGGAGUGGGGGGAGGGAAGAGGCAUCUUCCUCCUAUCACUUCGGUGCUUUCAAAGAUCCCCAUUUCCCAGAAGUACUUCUGUAGCGGGCUAAUAUAAUUAUUAGCAGCUGUUAAAACAAACAACAAACAAAAACCAAGAAGCGCAGGCCCGGACUGGCAUGUCUGCACACGCCUGAGCGCUCUGACACUGCAAACUCCGCACAGGCCCCUUCCUUUCCCCGCCGCCCGCCUGCCUGUGGGCCUGCUGCGGCCCGGCCGCCCAACAGCGGGGCCACAACUGCGGCCAGAGGCGCUCAUUUUCACCCAUUUACCUUCAUUUUCACCCAUUCACCUUCAUUUUCACCCAUUCACGUUAUGAAUGCCGAGCACCCCUCCUCUGAUGAGCGCAACAUUCAUUCUUUCGCUUCUCGGACGCGCUCUCCCAUGAACAAAAGGCAGGAGAGAUGACUUACUCGAGAUUUAGAGAAACGCCGGGGGAGCAAAUGAAGCAACAGAAGGGACAAAUGCAAAAAGUUCCACGUUUUUAAAGAAGAACAUGGGGAUCGGGGGAGAAAGAGGUUAAAGGAUUGUUUGCUCUGGUGGCUUUGAAAAUGUGACAAGUGGUAGGAUUUCUGAUCACAUCUUUUGUUGUCAUGUGGCUCCUUCCUGGGACUGCGGAGGGGGGAGUGUUUUGGGGGGGAUGCAGAUCUUUCUCUCUUUCCCUUUUUAACAAGAGCCUUCAGGGCCUUGAAUUCUGGCUAAAAGUUUAUAAACAUGAUCCUGGGAAUCUGUAAAAUCCAAAAGCAAAUAAAAGCAUUCCCAUGCGAAUUGUUUAUUAAAAUCACAUGAUUUUUAAGUAGCUCUCACGAUUCCUUGGGCCAGUUUCACGAUUCCGAAUGCUCAAGGCCGGCAGUAUAAAUUCUACCUGCUCCCUGGGACUACUUUUUGUGAUUAGCCGGCUCUAGGCAGCUGCUUGGCCUGCAAAUUCCUGUUCAGAAUCCUCCAUUCAUUUAUUAACAAGGCAGAGGGGCACAGGUAGAGUGUCAGCCCCAUGAAUAUGAAUGCCCUGCUCGACCGAUCCGAGUGGCAGGCACCAAAGCAGCGACUCACAGCAAUUUGAAACGUGACUGCCUCCACCAGUGCGCACCCUCCCUCUCUCGCUGCCUCCCUGCUCCGAGGAUCCCAUGUCCGGAACAGCGAUCCGCUGUGUUAGUGCAGAGCCGCCCUUGAUUUCGGCUGUUUCAGCCCUCAGCAGCGGCCGGGGCUGGGCUGUGCUGCCGGAGCUCCAGGGGAAGGCAGGCAACAUCUGGCCCCGGGGCAGGGCGGGCAGCAGGGUUUGAAACCGCUGUAGCAGAAUACACCGGCUCCCAUCCCCGAGUCUGCAGCUAAAAUGAAAUGCAAAAUGGCACAUAUCGCAUGCAUGUCCCCUUUGUCUGGGAGGGAGAGACUUCUCUCUUUAAAGGGGCAGCACGCAAAAGCAGCGAGAUUUCUGACGCUGCUAAGCUUCCUGGAAGCUUUCCAGGCUGGAUAAUAAUUGGCAAAUGUCAAAGUCUUAAACAAUAUUUAGCGGUAGUUAAAAAUGUGACUAAACUCCGAAGGUUGGUAUUAAAUCCAGACAAAUCCCUUUAAUAUACUGGGCCAGACCUCCUGUCUGAGGAAUCACUGCAGUCUGAGUGUGUGUAGGUGGCCUCUACCCAGACAAAAGGCAGAGGAACACGUACAGCCCUGACCCAGCAUCAUGUACAGCCCAACCAAAGAGCAAGUACUGGAUCUGCCUUCCGAGUUGAUGGUGCUGCACUGCAGUGUAAAUACUGAAAAACCAAAGCAUUGUGUUUCAAGAGAUUGCUAAGGAGGAAAGCUGUAUCACGGCUGAGAAGAGUGAUAAUUUCUUCUGCAUUAUUCUAUACUAAAAGUAAAUAUAUAAUAUUUAUAUUAUAUUAUUAUAUAAAUUAUAUUAUUCUAUACUUAUAAAAGUAAAUACAUGAUUGACAUAGAUCUACUGGCAUGCAGAAGUAAGAAAACAGUACAUGAAAGUGGUUUCCACCCCCGUGGUCAGGUAGCCCACGUACAUUGUUCCUGUAGCAGGGCAGGUGGGCUAUCACACCAUCUCAGUAGGCUUCAGAUACCUCACUGGCCAUGAGCUGAACGUGUCUGUGGCCACAGGACUUCAGGAAGCAGCCUGCCCACAGCUCUCCCUCACCAGCUGGCUGACUGUGUUACCUGUAUCCAGAACUGUGAUAAUCUGUGAAACCAGUCCUGCAGCUACACAAACUGUGAGCACUUUGGCUGUGCUGCAGCAGGGUGAACAGGAUGGUGCUCUCAUCAUGUGGCCUGUCCUUGACAAAACAGUUCUAUUGUUGGCAUUGCUACCACUCUUCCUGUUAUCAUGACUAUUUUGCUACUUUCUCCACUCUUCUAAUAGUUGCCCUUUGUUGAUCUUCAUUGAAUCUUCCCGUCUUUCUUCUGCUUCCAGCUUUGCUUUUAAUGUCUUUCAUUACAAACACAGAAGGAGAAACAAACCUGUCAUUUAUUUUUGUGCCCGUAUAUGUUGUUGCCCAUCCUCUUAAGUGCACUCUUUCAAUGAAAUUUAAUUUAGCUGCUGCAGCUGUACUCAUUGCUUAAAAUAAAUAUAUAAGGAAGUGUAGAAAAUGGUCAGGUAUUCAAGAAAAGUGGUUGCACUUAUGCUUGUUGCUGACAUUUGCAGUGCUCUUUAAGAGGCCUGAGCUAUUGCAAUAUUUUUCUGCAGGAUAAAAUGACUUAAGAUUCUAUUUCCGUCUCUAAUUUCUAUUAUUAAAGGAGCAUCUCUGGUAAAUUUAAGUUUCCAAUGCAUUUUCCAAGAGGAAUAGGAGAUAACCCAAGUGUCUUAAGCAAUGUUUGAGUCACAAUAUCAGGAUGGGAGAUGAGCCAACAUUAAGGUCUGUGUGGCAGCUGUCUCUCCCUAAGCAAGUUGACUUAAUGCUCAGUGAGGGCUGAAGUUUAAGAGAACAGAUUUAAAAGGAUAACUUUCAAUGUGACUUUCAUGGAAUUACUGAGAUGCUUUAAGAAAGGUACAUAACUAGAAGUUUACAAACUUUUUUUUUUUUUAAUUUGUACCUUUUGAGUUGUGCUGGACACUUGGCUCCACAUUGUGUUUUCUUGCUUUCUAGAUGUAGCACCCUGCAUGCUUCUAGGGUUAAAAUAAAUUGCUGGUUUUCAGUGUUGGAAUAAAAAGCAGAUUUAAAAAAAAUGUGGGGAAGAAGUGAUUUGCUCUGGAUAGACAUCCAAAUGAUACACACAGAGAAUUAUUAUUUUUGAAGCUUAGGAUGACAAAGUAAAGAAGGAUAUUUCAUACUGUCCUAUUGUAUGUGGGGAAGUGUAAUCCAUCAACUACUUUGAUAAGCUUUACCAUUUUUUUGAAGAUUGCUGUGAAAUGAUCUCAUGAGCUGAAUCAAUUUAGACAUUCCAAACAAAUGUCUUUUAAAAUGCCCAAAUGAUGUAUAUGAAGAAAUGAUUGUUGUGUUUGUGUCUAGAGAUCAAUGCAUUUUUCUUCAUUUGCAUUAUGCUCUGACACUGCUGUAGCUGCUGGAGUUGCAUUUCAGUAGUACUUGCUGUUGAUUUAUUUUUAAUUUGAUCUUAAUCAGCUCUGUGUUUUUAUCUCCUUUCUUUUUGUCAUUUUAUUUACUUAAGUAUUAGCACAGUUCCUCAAUAAGAAGCUUGGAAAGAGAAAGCUCACAUUGUCUGGCUUCAGUAACCAUCAGCUGUAUUACCACAUGCACAUCUAUCAAGAUUAGUUACUUUUCCAGUACAUAAAAUCCAUUUAUGUAACAAGAAAAUCAAAUAAACACCGCUGUGUUUUCUUAAAA